AUACGGAGGGUGCAAGCGUUACUCGGAAUCACUGGGCGUAAAGCGCGCGCAGGCGGCUAUUUAAGUUGGAUGUGAAAGCCUAUGGCUCAACCAUAGAACUGCAUCCAAAACUAUUUAGCUAGAGUGUGGGAGAGGAAGAUGGAAUUAGUUGUGUAGGGGUAAAAUCCGUAGAGAUAACUAGGAAUACCAAAAGCGAAGGCAAUCUUCUGGAACACUACUGACGCUGAGGCGCGAAAGCGAGGGGAGCAAACAGGAUUAGAAACCCUAGUAGUCC
rnacentral:rRNA from 1 species